rnacentral:rRNA from 1 species
UACGGAGGGUGCAAGCGUUAAUCGGAAUUACUGGGCGUAAAGCGCACGCAGGCGGUUUUGUAAGUCAGAUGUGAAAACGCCGGGCUCAACCUGGGAACUGCCUUUGAUACUGGUAAGCUUGAGUGUCGUAGGGGGGGGUAGAAUUCCAAGUGUAGCGGUGAAAUGCGUAGAGAUCUGGAGGAAUACCGGUGGCGAAGGCGGCCCACUGGAC